rnacentral:rRNA from 1 species
UACGUAGGUGGCAAGCGUUGUCCGGAUUUACUGGGCGUAAAGAGCGCGCAGGCGGUCGUUCAAGUCGCGUGUGAAAGCCCCCGGCUCAACUGGGGAGGGUCACGCGAUACUGAUCGACUCGAAGGCAGGAGAGGGUAGUGGAAUUCCCGGUGUAGUGGUGAAAUGCGUAGAUAUCGGGAGGAACACCAGUGGCGAAGGCGACUACCUGGCCUGUUCUUGACGCUGAGACACGAAAGCCAGGGAGCAACGGG